rnacentral:lncRNA from 1 species
CACAACCUCUUCAUGAGAGGGUGUUGGAUAAGGUUACACCUUCUUUAUGAGGGGGUCAUCCCCGUAUGAAGGCGUAUGCACCACGCAUUUUAAUGGCUUCCACAUUUAUGAGGGGGUGACACCCAUAUGAAUGAGGGUACGAGAGGGAGAUUUCUUUCUUUAUAAAAAGGAGAGGUUUGUAGAUCUCAAGAGAAGAGGUGUGAGAGUGUGGUGUCUCCAUUUUUUUUGCAAAGAGAAACCCAACCAUCAAGAGAUAAACAAGUUGUAUGUGAGAUAGUCGAGCUUGGACUUGCUCCUCGUCUUGUAAGUAUCAUAUUUAUUAUUGUAUUUGUGAGAUUCCAUCUCACUUGGCAGCUCUAGUUGUUCUGUUUUACCUACAUGAGUCAAUCCUCCCUUUCCAAAUUUAUUUAUGGAAAGGAGUGUAACAAAGACCGUCGGAUUGACUAAUGACUGAUUGCAAGCACUUAGGUGUGAUACUCAGUUUUCUUCUUGCUCAAGAUUUCUGCUGAGCCUGUUGGACCCGUUCUUCUUCUAAUAGUGGCCAUAAGAUUUUUGUUGAGAGGCAUCGUACCUUUAUAUAUAAUCCUUAUGGUCAACUCUAAUUUUUUCUCUAAUGUUGCAUAACGUGGGAUAUUUAAUACUUGGCAUUAGAUGAUAGUGAUGUACAUAAUAAUAUGUGUAUGUAUUUUAUCACAUGACAUGUGAUGAUCUGUUACAUACAACCUUUCAUCUAUUUGACUUGUUUGAAUGCGUUUGAUGAGGUGUUAGCUUCAUCGUUUCCUUAUAUAUAACCUAUCAUCUCCUAUUAAAAUUUGGCAAAUGUAUAUUAAGACAAUUUAUUUUUGAUAUAAGAAGGUCACAAUCAUUUAUAACCGUUAGAUAUGAAAUCGGGACAUCAAUAAUGAGUCACAAAGUUUGAAAAAAAAUUAGAACAUUGUGCACAAUCAAUGACACACUCUUGGUCAUUUGAUUUAUUUGACAACUAGGAGUGAGGUAUUAGCUCAUCGUUUCCUUAUAUAUAACUACAAUCUCCUAUUAAAAUUUGGGAAUGUAUAUUAAGACAUAAUUUAUUUUUGGUACAAAAAUGUCACAAUCAUUUAUAGCUAUUAGAUAUAAAAUCAAAACAUCAAUAAUAAGUCAAAAAAUUCAAGAAAAAAUUUAGAACAUUGUGCACAAUCAAUGAUACACUCUUGGUGAUUUAAUAUAUUUGACAGAUAAGAGUGAAUGUAACCUCCUUGAGUAAAAAGUUCAUGGUCUCUCAUCUUAUACUUUCUCUUCAAAUUUUAUGGACCUCUGUCUCUCUCUCUUUUGAAUGAAUGUAAUGAGAUUUUUUCUCUUUCAUCCUGUAAAAAAUUUGAUAAUCUCAUUGACAUCAUGCAUGUAUUGUAUUUUGAUGUCCUCAUGUAUGGAUGUAUUUCGAUCGGAUACUCAUCAUUUUGAGCAAAACGAUGAACGUCCUUCUUAUGGGAAUACAAGCUUCCUGGUUUAUUAGAUACUCAUGAAAAAAAAUUUAUUUCGUCCAAAUUUUGAAGAAAUGCAUGGCUGUUUCACAUUUGAGUAAG